UACGUAGGUGGCAAGCGUUAUCCGGAUUUACUGGGUGUAAAGGGCGUGUAGGCGGGCCAGCAAGUCAGGUGUGAAAUUUCAGGGCUUAACCCUGAAACUGCACUUGAAACUGUUGGUCUUGAGUGAUGGAGAGGCAGGCGGAAUUCCUAGUGUAGCGGUGAAAUGCGUAGAUAUUAGGAGGAACACCAGUGGCGAAGGCGGCCUGCUGGACAUUAACUGACGCUGAGGCGCGAAAGCGUGGGGAGCAAACAGG
rnacentral:rRNA from 1 species